rnacentral:tRNA from 3 species
GUGCCCUUAGCUCAGCAGGAUAGAGCAACAGCCUUCUAAGCUGUGGGUCAGAGGUUCGAAUCCUCUAGGGCGCG